GACGAACGCUGGCGGCGUGCUUAACACAUGCAAGUCGAACGGUAAGGCCCUUCGGGGUACACGAGUGGCGAACGGGUGAGUAACACGUGAGUGACCUACCCUCUACUUCGGGAUAACCUCCAGAAAUGGUGGCUAAUACCGGAUAUUCACAUGUUCCUGCAUGGGGGUGUGUGGAAAGCCUUGUGCGGUAGGGGAUGGACUCGCGGCCUAUCAGCUUGUUGGUGGGGUAGUGGCUCACCAAGGCGUCGACGGGUAGCCGGCCUGAGAGGGUGACCGGCCACAUUGGGACUGAGAUACGGCCCAGACUCCUACGGGAGGCAGCAGUGGGGAAUAUUGCGCAAUGGGCGGAAGCCUGACGCAGCAACGCCGCGUGCGGGAUGACGGCCUUCGGGUUGUAAACCGCUUUCACGCAUGACGAAGCUUUUGUGACGGUAGUGCGAGAAGAAGCACCGGCCAACUACGUGCCAGCCGCCGCAGUAAAAC
rnacentral:rRNA from 1 species